GAGGGCGUUUACCACGGUGUGAUUCAUGACUGGGGUGAAGUCGUAACAAGGUAACCCUAGGGGAACCUGGGGUUGGAUCACCUCCUUA
rnacentral:rRNA from 2 species